UUUUUUUUUUGUUAUUCCUCCAUGAUCGUAAACCUAACAAAAUUCAAUUCAUCAGGUGUCCAAACAUAGCCAAGGGGUUCAUUUGGAUGCCUGUAAAUGGGCCAAGUUGUAAAUGAUUACAUUUACACUCUGUAUUUGGAUGGCCUUUUUUGCCUGUAAAUCAUUUUUAGGCUGUAAACAAUUUACAGCAUUUACCCUCAUUUCAUUUACAUGCAAAAAGUUCAUAUUUCAUUUACAUGCAAAAAAUUCAGAUUUCAUUUACAGGCCCUCCACUUACAGCCUAACGAUUAUAAAUGGAAAGAUUGGCUCUCCAUUUACAUGACUUAAACAAUUUACAGGCUAUCCAAACACAGACGAUCCUUUACCUGUAAAUCAUUUACAACUUAGCACCAUACAGGACAGGCUGUAAAUGACUUACAGGUGUAAAUUACCUGUAAAUCAUUUUUAGGCAUCCAAAUGACCCCUAAGUCUAUCAGAUUCUGUACAAUUCAAUUUAACUGGGGUCCAGUUCAAAUCACUUGGAGUAAACUGAACAGAAGUCAAUUCAGGUGGAUGCAUUUUUCAGGAGGCAAUGCAAAGUGGAGUCAAUCUGCAUAAGAUGGAGUUUCGAAACUGCUUUAAAAAAAAUAUUUACAACUCUAUCCAGUCUUGUAGUUCUUUUUUCUUAAUGGGAAUGUCUCACCUGCAACCAUCGGGUUGUUUCUUUUGAAUCAGACAUCGGGUGUUUGACUCUAUGCAAAUAUGUGGCCUGACUGAUAAGCGGAGUGAUCUGAUUUUGCACCACUGAUCUUCAUGGUGAGCCCACCUUGUGCAUGUCUAGAAUGUCCUACAAGCAUGUUGGCGUGUGUGAGAGGAGAAUGCCAAAAGUUUUAUUUGAGCACACUUGGCAUUGCUCUAUAACACAAGCAGUGACUAUACCAGCUAGUUUCAGUGUUUUCACUUCUUUUCCUUUAAAAAAAUUAGGUCAAGGAUUCUAUUGUUUCAAACUCUUCCUGGUUCAUGUAUUUUUCUAUUUUAUGGUUUUAUGACCUCUAAAUUUCACAUUGAUAAUGUGUUACAGUGUUUGAAGAUGGAAGGUAUUCAAUAUUCUGGUGCUUAUGCAUCGAUGGGGGUUGAUAAUAGCUUGUGGAUGGAUAAUUUCUGCAAUAAUUUUAGAGUUGAAGUAAUUCAACUUACAAAAGAUGAGAUUGAGUUUGAUAUGAUCAGGAUUGAUGCUUCACUAGCCAAUGCAUUUAGGAUGAUCCUCAUUACUAAGCUUCCUACAAUCGCUAUUGAAAAGGUCCUUGUUGCAAACAACACAUCGUGGUCCAAGAUGAAGUCCUAGCCCAUAGGUUGGGCCUUACUCCCAUCAAAGCUGACCCAAGGCUGUUCGAAUAUGUUUCAGAAAAUGACUCACAAUAUCUUGGUGUGGUUCAAUGAUCCCCAAUUACACCUUUGGUCAACAGCUCCAAACAUGUUAGCUAAUGGCAAGUCGAGAAGGCACUGUUCGAUUAUGAGGUUGGAAGCACCAAAUAUUCUGACAGUACAAUGGAGAAUCUUUGCCUGAGAGCCAUGACAGUACAAUUGAUUUUUUUUGUAUGUAUGUAUUAGGUACUUCUUAAGGUUUUUCUUCAAGGGAUUUGAUAUGUGGAAGGAAGAAACUGUAAUGAAGGUAAAAAAUCAAAGAUGGUUGCUUUGUUUUUUGCGUUC